UACGUAGGGGGCAAGCGUUGUCCGGAUUUAUUGGGCGUAAAGAGCGUGUAGGCGGCUGGGUAGGUCCGUUGUGAAAACUCGAGGCUCAACCUCGAGACGCCGAUGGAAACCAUCUAGCUAGAGUCCGGAAGAGGAGAGUGGAAUUCCUGGUGUAGCGGUGAAAUGCGCAGAUAUCAGGAAGAACACCAAUGGCGAAGGCAGCUCUCUGGGACGGUACUGACGCUGAGACGCGAAAGCGUGGGGAGCGAACAGG
rnacentral:rRNA from 1 species